CAGCCGCCGCGGUAAUACGAAGGGUGCAAGCGUUAAUCGGAAUUACGGGGCGUAAAGCGUGCGCAGGCGGUUUGUUAAGACAGAUGUGAAAUCCCCGGGCUCAACCUGGGAACUGCAUUUGUGACUGGCAAGCUAGAGUGUGGCAGAGGGGGGUGGAAUUCCGCGUGUAGCAGCGAAAUGCGUAGAUAUGCGGAGGAACACCGAUGGCGAAGGCAGCCCCCUGGGCCAAUACUGACGCUCAUGCACGAAAGCGUGGGGAGCAAACAGGAUUAGAUACCCCCGUAGUCCCUGUCUCUUAUAC
rnacentral:rRNA from 1 species